rnacentral:rRNA from 1 species
GACGAACGCUGGCGGCGUGCUUAACACAUGCAAGUCGAACGGGCCCGCUCUCUUUUUUGGGGGUGGGUUGAGUGGCGAACGGGUGAGUAUCACGUGAGUAACCUGCCCCCUGCUCCUGGAUAACUGCUUGAAAGGGCGGCUAAUACGGGGUGUGCCGGCUGGUCCGCAUGGGCCUGGUCGGGAUAGUUUCAUCUUCGGGUGUUUCGGUGGGGGAUGGGCUCGCGGCCUAUCAGCUUGUUGGUGGGGUGAUGGCCCACCAAGGCGGUGACGGGUAGCCGGCCUGAGAGGGUGGGCGGCCACACUGGGACUGAGACACGGCCCAGACUCCUGCGGGAGGCAGCAGUGGGGGGUAUUGCACAAUGGGCGGAAGCCUGAUGCAGCGACGGCGCGUGAGGAAUGGAGGCCUUCGGGUUGUGAACCUCUUUCUCCGGUGGUGAAGGCCCUGUCCGUUGCGGCGGGGUUGACGGUAGCCGGGGAUGAAGCGCCGGCUAACUACGUG